rnacentral:lncRNA from 1 species
AUUUUUUUUUUUUUGAAAAUUCAUGAAUUAUUCAUGUUCAGCAUCGCUGACAAAUUAUUAUGUGAAGAACUUGUCCAUUCAUGAACAUUUCAUAUAUACAUUGUUAAAUUCAUCAAAUGCAUGUGUAGUUCAUGUAGUAUUAAAUAGUUCAUGCAUUCUGGAGUGGAAAAAUGGUCCACAGCCAUGCUUCAAACUUCGAAAUGCUAAGGCAGGCCAUGGGCAUAAAGGACCAAAAUGGUAGCAUUGCAGUGUCAGGACUUGGGAUUCGAGGAUUCAUUUGAUAUUAGAAUUUUGUUUUUAUCAAAAAGUAAAUACAAAAUCAAACCUUUCGCAUUGUCCCUUAUCUUCGAGCCCUCUUCUGCUUCAAACUUCUUCUAGUUGUUUGCUUCUUCUCAUCCUUUCAUUUCCCUCCUACUAUUCUCUCACUCUCUAAAACAUACUUCCCCCCUCAAUUUUUCUUCCUCUUUAGUUCCCCUCUCUCUUCCAAACUUCUUGCAUUUUUUUUUUCAAAUUUAACAGAUUUUUUCCAAACACAAUUUAUUAACCUUGUCAAGUUAUUCCUGAAUGCAAAACUUGUGACUAUGCUAGAGAUGGUUUAAUUCUUUUCAAUGUGAUUACAAAUGGAGCAGGUAUGGGUUGAGGGUCUUUUGACCUACCUCAAUUUGACCGUUCUAUCGCAUCAUAGAAUUCACUCACCACCUACCCCUACCCCCUUGUAUCCUUUCUUCAUAUUCCUCCCUCUAUUUGUGGGCACUCUCAUCUUUAAUACAUACAACCCUUCAAGCAGAGAAAUAAAGAAGUGCUAGGAGUGAAAGGGUGGACAUGUUUACAUACAUAGUAGGAAAUGAUUUGUGAACAACCAGGAGAUCACA